rnacentral:misc_RNA from 1 species
GAACCGCGAAAUGUAAUGUGAAUUGCAGAGUUCGUGAAUCAUCAAAUCUUUGAACGCACAUUGCACUGCUUGGAAUUCCAGGCAGUAUGUCUGUUUGAGUAUCUGUACUCUUACCAUCGACCUAGGGCGCUAGUCUGUUAUGGACGAGCAACCGCGGUCGGAUAUGGAACUGCGUGCGAGCAAUUGCGCGGGUUCUGAAAUUGAUAAUGCCUACGUGCUACACUAGUGUAGCCGUGGGCGAGUAGGCUUGACAAGCCUGCACGCUGCUUGUUGCAUGACUGAACGUCCAAUUCUAUCAAGCGCUAGGCAAGCAGCGACCUCGAGUGACUCUAGUGGUCCUCAAACCAUGAUCUAAAAUCAGACAAGACUACCCGCUGAACUUAA